rnacentral:rRNA from 1 species
GACGAACGCUGGCGGCGUGCUUAACACAUGCAAGUCGAACGGAAAGGCCCUGCUUUUGUGGGGUGCUCGAGUGGCGAACGGGUGAGUAACACGUGAGUAACCUGCCCUUGACUUUGGGAUAACUUCAGGAAACUGGGGCUAAUACCGGAUAGGAGCUCCUGCUGCUUGGUGGGGGUUGGAAAGUUUCGGCGGUUGGGGAUGGACUCGCGGCUUAUCAGCUUGUUGUUGGGGUAGUGGCUUACCAAGGCUUUGACGGGUAGCCGGCCUGAGAGGGGUACCGGCCACAUUGGGACUGAGAUACGGCCCAGACUCCUACGGGAGGCAGCAGUGGGGAAUAUUGCACAAUGGGCGGAAGCCUGAUGCAGCAACGCCGCGUGCGGGAUGACGGCCUUCGGGUGGUAAACCGCUUUCGCCUGUGACGAAGCGUGAGUGACGGUAGUGGUUAAAGAAGCACCGGCUAACUACGUG